GAACGUGUCUGCUGCUCUGCAGUGGCGGCGCUGGCCCCGGUCAGCUCCUUUGUUCAUCCAACGGGCCACCCCUUCUCCCAGAGGGGCUCCCCCGCCCUGCCGGCCGGCACCGCGGGAGGGGCGGGCUCGGGAAGCGACGCCGCACCCGGGCUGCGGCGGGGCGCGGGCGGCACCGCGAGACCGCGCGUCUCCCCCCAGCCCCCGCCUUCCGCCCCAACCGCCAUUUCCAACCGUCGCCCGCGCUCGUGCUCCGCGUGCUCGGGCCGGGCGCGCGCCGCGGGGGAUGGGGGGAGCCGCUCGCCGCCGCCGCUUUGUCCCGCGCGCGGCCCCCGCCCGGAAGUGGGCUCGCACCGGCCGUGGCCCGCGGCCCCGCGUGUCCUUUGUCCUUCCGGCCCCGCCGAGCCCCGCGCGCCAGCCGCUCCCCUGGCGGCGGGUGCAGCCCCGUCCCCGCUCCCCUCCCGCCUCGGGGCGUUAAGGCGGCGCCGCCCGGGGCGCUGAGGGAGACGGACGGGGACCACACGGAGGGGCCGGCUCGUUACUGAGCGUGCGCCGGCCGCCCUCCCGGCGCGGAGGUUUAAGAGGAAAAGGCCUGCGACGGGCGCGUGUCGUGUCGGCCGCGGGUUGCCGUGAAGCCCAGGCGCUGCGUGUGGCGGCCCGUGCAGGCCGGGGUCAGGCCGGCCUUUCAGGGUUCCUCUGUCCCCCCACGGCCGCGGGUCCGAGUGCCCGGGAGGCGGGGGAGCCGCGCUGCGCACAGUCACGGUGCCGCCCGGUCACGCGGCGCCGGGCGGGGUCGGCGGGGACGCCUCUCAUUUCCCAGCCUCGGCGCCUUUCCGCAGCCCCCGCGGAAGACGCAGCUUGUGAGCGGCAGAAACAAGAAGGAAUUGCAGCUCCGGCUGCAGUGUGAUGGAGAAGCGCCUGCACAGUAAUCCAGAGAAACAGCGAGAGGAAGGCUCUUCUAUGGACUUGGGAAGGGCUGCUGUAAGCAGAGUCCAUUGGAGGAAACUGAAAGUUCAGAGUACAGCGAGCUUUUCAUUGGCUGAUUUAUGUCAGUCUCUCAUUUGCUCAGCUACUACUAGACAAGGAGGAAUCUUUUGUUUUUUCUUCUGAUGGGCAGAAGGCCUGAACAGACACUUUUUUUAAAGAAGACAAACAAAUGGGCAACAGUUUUAUGAAGAAAUGCUCAACUUUAUUAGCUAUAAGGAACAUAAAAAUCAAAACAUAAAUACCACCUCAUACUUGUUAGAAUGACUGUCAACAAGACAAUACAUAACAGGUGUUGGAGAGGUUGUGGAGAAAAAGGAACCCCCAUACACUGCUGGUGGGAAUGUAAAUCAGUACAGCCAAUUUGUAGUAGUAUCCUAUCUAAUAAAAGUGUAAUAUGCAAAUC